rnacentral:rRNA from 1 species
CAUGCCAAUGGCAUUGCCCGGUAGCUAAGUGCGGAAGAGAUAACCGCUGAAAGCAUCUAAGCGGGAAACUUGCCUUGAGAUGAGUCUUCCCUGACUCUUUAAGGGUCCUAAAGGAACGUUUAAGACUAAGACGUUGAUAGGUUGGGUGUGUAAGCGUAGCGAUACGUUGAGCUAACCAAUACUAAUGAACCGUGAGGCUUAACCU